AAAGUUUGGAUAGUCCCCCCAAAAUGCUGCAGAAGCAGGCAGCAGGCCGAGGGUGGGUGGUCUCCGGUGGAAGCUCAGCUGGAGAUGCCCUUCCCUGGCUCCUCCAUGGCUCCUCCAUGAUGCCAUCGCCAGCCCAACUCAACAGGCCUCCUCCAUUCCACGGUUGCACCACCAGAUCCGGUCUCUCCGGCUCACCCGCCAGAAGCUCAGAAAGGCAGAGUGAGGAGACACUCCUGUCCCAGAGCCACCCAAACACUGCUCCUCCACGUCGGUCUGAACGCAUAGGGCUGAGUUCUUCCAAGCUGCAGAACGGCACAAGCACGGUUAUUCCUUUCUCCUCCGACUACUGAUAUCUAAAACCCUAUUCUUGUUAGUAUGGACCAGAAGCCUAAAUCAGAGACCACGCAAUAUUAAAUACUUUCAGUCCCUGCUUCAAGAACUUGCCUGGAUUCUGCGUUUUGUCCCUUCAGGAUGACUGGGGGAGGCAGGGGAGGACGAAUUGCCUUCCUCAAGGGCACACCCACUGAUGACAGCAAUGGGCUGAGUGGCAGCUGCUGCAGCAAGGUUUGUGGAGCAGCAGCCCUGACCCCCUUGUCCUUCUGUCCCUACAUCGCUUCCACAUGUGCCUGUAGCUGCUUCCCUCUGGCACAAACACACACUAGGAGAAUCCUACAAAGCAACAAACAGUUCGCUGUUGCAGCUUGCUUGUUACAUAUGACACCUGUGUUUCAGGCUUGGCUACUGCAAAGAUUUCUUUUUUAUUUUAUUCUUUUGUUUUGCUCCCCUUAACCCAUAGUAAAGUGCAUAAACAGCACCUUGAGAGUGAGGUUUUCACAGCAGCCUGUGGGAUUUAGUGCAGUACCCAGGGCGGAAUCCUGUCCACCACAAUCAUUUAUCUCCACUGAGCUCUUAUUAUUCUGCGUGUAACAACGUUCAGAGUUCAGCCAAGGGACACGCUGCAAUAACAAACCUGGAGAACAGAAGAUCUGCUCUCAGCACACGCUUUGGCCACGCUGAUGCAAAGCAAAAUUUCUUCUGUGCAUCCUGUACAGCUGCUCCUCCUCCUGUCUCAGGCUCACUUUCACCAGUUCCAGCAGUGAAUAAAGAGAUGCUCCAGGUCUGCUUGUGGCA
rnacentral:lncRNA from 1 species